CGAAGGGGCUAGCGUUGUUCGGAUUUACUGGGGCGUAAAGCGCACGUAGGCGGUUUGUUAAGUCAGAGGUGAAAUCCCGGAGCUCAACUCCGGAACUGCCUUUGAUACUGGCAAGCUAGAGUCCGGAAGAGGUAAGUGGAACUCCUAGUGUAGAGGUGGAAUUCGUAGAUAUUAGGAAGAACACCAGUGGCGAAGGCGGCUUACUGGUCCGGAACUGACGCUGAGGUGCGAAAGCGUGGGGAGCAAACAGGAUU
rnacentral:rRNA from 1 species